UACUGAGUGUCAGGCUUGUCAGAGGGCAGGUGGGAGAGACCAGGACCAGUAGGGUGUGAGGAUAGUUCAGGAAUUCAUCCGACGAAUGGUUAAGGAGCACCCACCACACGCGAGGCGCUGUUCCUGGUGCUGGGGUGCAGCAGUGAGUUCCACUGCCCUCGUGGCGCUUGCGUGCUAGCGGGGAGAGACAGGGCCAGAGGGUGGGAGAAUUGUUCAUGCACCUGCCAGCGAGAAGCACUGGGAACAGCCAGCUGAGGGCUGAGGGUCCUGCAGGGCUUGGGGAAAGGGUGGUGCUGUCUUGACAUAAGACGGCAGGAGGGGCGGAAGCCAGCGCGGCAUGUGCGGAGAGGAAGAGCAUGCGCACAGGGCCCCAGGUGGGCUGUGCCUGGCAGCUUGGAGGCACAAGAAGGAGGCUGGUGUGGCUGGAGAGCAGGGCAGGGCAAGGAGUGAGGUUGGGAGGGGACGGGCCAGAUCAGGCCAGGCCAUGUGGGCCCCAGAAGGACGUGGGCUUUGACUCCGAGGAAGGCCGAGUUCUGCUCUUGGCUGUAACGACACCCCUGGCCCACUGUGCUGGGAACAGGGUGCCCGGGGAAGAGGCAGGGAGAACGGUGUGGGGCUCUUGCAGUGAGUGGUCCAGGUGAAAGUUUGGAGAGACAGUGCAGGAGGCAGCGCUGGCCAGAUCUGGAUUUAUAGAGUUGGCUGGACUCGCUGAGAGGAAGAGAGGGGUCAGGGAGGACUUGAGGAUGGGGGUUAAGGGCAGUGGUGGAACAGGCUUGCCUAGGCAUGCAGUUGGCAUUUAUAUGGUGGUUCUGGGGUUACUGAGUGCUUCCCCACAGACUCUCUGCUUACUUCUUGCAACAAACCCUCUAGGGUUAGGUGGAGGGGCAGGUCUGGCAUCGGCCCCAGGCUUUCUGGCUCCAAGUUACUCAAAAAAUGCCCUGGGCACCCUGGCAGAUGUGGCUGGAUAGUCUGCAGUGUGCACGGCGCCAGGUUCCCCAUGCAUGAAAUGGAACAAGGUCUUCCACCCCCAGGGCUGCUGGCAGGGUGAUAGCAGAUGAUGGCACGAAGGUCCUUUAGGACAUGGCCAGAUGGGAGCGAAAUGACGAAGCUGGGCCAUGAGCUGAUGCUGUGUGCGCCAGAUGACCAGGAGCUCCUCAAGGUAAGAGGGCCUCUGUCUGCUCUGCAGACGGCACGCACGCUUUCUGCCCUGGGCAGG
rnacentral:lncRNA from 1 species